CCUACGGGGUGCAGCAGUGGGGAAUAUUGGACAAUGGGCGAAAGCCUGAUCCAGCCAUGCCGCGUGUGUGAAGAAGGCCUUCGGGUUGUAAAGCACUUUCAGUGGGGAAGAAAGCCUUGGGGCUAAUACCCUCGAGGAAGGACAUCACCCACAGAAGAAGCACCGGCUAACUCCGUGCCAGCAGCCGCGGUAAUACGGAGGGUGCGAGCGUUAAUCGGAAUUACUGGGCGUAAAGCGCGCGUAGGCGGUCUGAUAAGCCGGUUGUGAAAGCCCCGGGCUCAACCUGGGAACGGCAUCCGGAACUGUCAGGCUAGAGUGCAGGAGAGGAAGGUAGAAUUCCCGGUGUAGCGGUGAAAUGCGUAGAGAUCGGGAGGAAUACCAGUGGCGAAGGCGGCCUUCUGGACUGACACUGACGCUGAGGUGCGAAAGCGUGGGUAGCAAACAGGAUUAGAUACCCGGUAGUC
rnacentral:rRNA from 1 species